GCCUGGAUGGCUCAGUCGGUUAAGCACCUGACUUUGGCUCAGGUCUUGUCUGGCAGUUUGUGAGUUCGAGUCCCACAUCCGGUG
rnacentral:tRNA from 1 species